rnacentral:lncRNA from 1 species
AGAAAGGAACAAGACAGGGUUGCCCAAUCUCCCCAUUGCUUUUUAUAUCGGUCCUUGAGGUUCUGCUCAAUAUGAUUAGAAAAGACCAAUUGGUUAAAGGUAUACAACUUGGAGCUAAACAGUAUAAAUUGAAAGCUUUUGCUGAUGAUUUAGUCUUGACAGUACAGGAGCCAGAAGCUAGCACAAAAAGGGUGUUACAAUUAAUACAAGAAUUUGGUCAAGUAGCUGGUUUUAAAUUAAAUAAGAUGAAAACCAAGGUAUUAGAGAAAAAUCUUACAGAGAUAGAGAAGGAGAGAUUCCAGAAAGAGACAGGAUUAACAAUUGUUAACAAAGUGAAAUAUUUAGGGGUGAACAUGACUGCUAAAAAUGUGAAUUUGUUUAAAGAUAAUUAUGAAAAAUGUUGGUCAGAGGUGAAGAAAGAUCUAGAAAUAUGGUCAAAAUUGAAGUUAUCAUUGCUUGGCCGAAUUGCUGCGAUAAAGAUGAAUGUACUGCCUAGAAUGUUGUUCUUGUUUCAAACAUUACAAAUUGUGGACAAAAUGGACUGUUUCAAGAGGUGGCAAAGAGACAUUUCCAAAUUUAUCUGGCAGGGCAAAAACCUAGAAUAAAAUUUAAGAUAUUAACAGAUGCAAAGGAAAGAGGGGAUUUGCCCUGCCAGAUCUUAAACUUUACUAUGAAUCAGCCGCUUUUUGCUGGCUGAAAGAUUGGCUACUUCUUGAAAACGUGGACAUUUUGGAUUUAGAAGGUUUUGACAACGUUUUGGAUGGCAUGCAUAUUUAUGGUAUGAUAAAGUUAAAGCGCAUAAGGCCUUUAAGAACCAUAUUGUCAGGAAAGCAUUGUUUAAUGUUUGGGUGAGAUAUAAGGACUUGUUGGAAAGUAAAACACCAAGGUGGCUAUCACCAAUGGAGGCAAAGGCAUUGAAAAAACCAAUAUGGAGACAAACUGGCCAAAAUAUUGUGAAAUUUUAGAACAAGUUGGAGAUAAAUUAAAAUUGCAGAAUUUUGACAAAUUAAAAACCAAAGUCAGAGAUUGGUUGCACUAUUAUCAAAUAAGGGAGGUUUUUAACUUAGAUAAAAGAUUGGCUUCCAGGAGGAAAAAUCUAAACUGGAAACGGAAUUGUUAGAACCUAAAACUAAAAAUUUGUCAAAAAUGUAUAAUUUGCUGCUGAAAUGGAAUACACAGGAUGAAAUGGUUAAAUCUGUUAUGAUUAAAUGGGCGCAGGAUGUUGGGCAUAACAUUAUGUUUGCUGACUGGGAACGGUUAUGGACCACAGGUAUGAAAUUUACGGCUUGUAAUGCUUUAAGAGAAAACAUAAUGAAAAUGAUUUACAGGUGGUACUUAACCCCAGUCAAGCUAGCAAAAAUUUAUCACUUGCCUGAUAAUAAGUGUUGGAAAUGUAAAGAAAACGAAGGUACUUUCUUUCACCUUUGGUGGACGUGCCCAAAGAUCAAGGCAUUCUGGGAAAUGAUAUACAAUGAAUUAAAAAGGUAUUGAAAUAUACUUUCUUAAAGAAACCAGAGGCCUUCCUCUUGGGCAUGGUCGGCCAAUUGGUGCGAAGGGAAGAUAGAACUUUUUUUAUGUAUGCGACAGCAGCAGCAAGAAUACUCAUCGGGAAAUAUUGGAAGACACAAGAAUUGCCUACCCGAGAAGAAUGGCAGAGAAAAGUGAUAGACUAUAUGGAACUGGCUGAGAUGACUGGAAGAAUUCGAGAUCAAGAAGAAGGGUUGAUGGAACAAGAUUGGAAAAAGUUUAAAAUAUAUUUACAGAAUCACUGUAACAUAAAAGAAUGUUAGGAAAGGUUGGAGAAGAAAUAUUAGACCGUAUUGGCAGACAGAGUAUAAUGGAAUUAAGUAAAUAUAAAGUGUAAACUAAAGGAUAGAGGAGAAUUAAAUAUUUUUGAAUGUUAAAAUGUUAAAAUAAGUGAAUGAAAAGAAGGUUAGAAGGAUUUGCUGGAGAUACAAUUUGAAUUAGAAUACAAAGCAGAGAAGUGAGAGGAAGUCACGGAAAUAAGUAAAUGGGAAAACGGUUUGUUAAAUUUGAAUUCUUUUUUUUUCUUGUUAUUUUUUAUUGUGAUUUUUGAUUUUGUGUAUUUUUUCCUUUUUUCUUUUUCUUUUUUUGUAUGGUGUGUAUCUUUUGUAAGAUGUAUGUGACUGGUUUUCUUGUUUUGUUUUUUCUUUCUUUUUUGUAAUUUUGAAACUUGAAUAAAUAUUC